rnacentral:rRNA from 1 species
UACGUAGGGCGCAAGCGUUAUCCGGAAUUAUUGGGCGUAAAGAGCUCGUAGGCGGUUUCGGUAAGUCGGGUGUGAAACCUCCAGGCUCAACCUGGAGACGCCACCCGAUACUGCUGUGACUAGAGUCCGGUAGGGGGAGCGUGGAAUUCCUGGUGUAGCGGUGGAAAUGCGCAGAUAUCAGGAGGAACACCAGCGGCGAAGGCGGCGCUCUGGGCCGUAACUGACGCUGAGGAGCGAAAGCCAGGGAGGCAAACGGG